CAGAGUGCAGUACUGAUGCUCGUUUGUGCUAUGAUACAGAAGAUAGCCAUGUCUAUAUGAAAACGCUCUACACUGAUAUAUCUUAUCCAAUUAAGGUGUAACUGGAUCAGUUAAACCCUUUCACUACGGCCUUAAGAUGUCAGCAGAUCCUGGGAUCAGACCUCAGCAACCAAGAAACUCCGGCCUGCACUCAUUCCUUUGAACUGGGGUAUCUGUCAAGUUGACAGGAAAGUAAGACCGCGACAAUCAGCAGAUAACUCUCGAUUCUCAGAUUACUUCACCUUUUUUAACUUCCUCACUGUGCCAUGCAAGAUCAGGCACAUAACAUCGUCUUGUGCAGAGGGGUUUACUGCAAAAUGGCGUGAAGUACUUAAGGGACCCCUGUAACCUCCUGGCUUGAGAGACACAAUCAGCAUUAACCUUCCUGGAAAGCUCUGUGAAACUGGCUUGGUCUAUGUGGAAAUCCAGUUCCCGAUCAAUCCAGAUUGAUCCAGAUCCAGAUUCUUCAAAACGCUUGCAUCCUUUCACACU